UGAGAAUUAAAUGAGUUAAUAUAUGGAAAUUUCUUGUAGCAAGGUCUGGCUCACAGCAUUAUAUAUUAUUAUAUAUUGUCAUUUUGUGUAAUUAUCCCCAUUUUAUAGAUUUCAAAAGAAACACACACACACAACCAAAAGAAACAAAUAAAUUAUAUUUUAGGGUUUAUCUGAUGUCUUUUAGGUUCACUUUAGAAUAUUCAAGAAGAGAUCGAGGCAUUAGACUGAGCUGGAAACUUGACAGAAAGAACUAUCUUCCCGGUUUUCUCUGGAAAUGAGUGGAGGGAAUGAAGAGUUGCCAGAAGAGGGAUGAAGAGUCUGUGAAUUCCGAAGAGGCAGAAGAUAGCAAUGAGAGUUAACAGAGAUGCAUGAACAUGUAUUAGAAAAAUGAUUCACACGCAAUAGAAAAAUUAAGUAAGACCAGGAUUGGGUGGCUUUGGAGAACGUAAUUUCAACUUGAACGUGAAGAUGCUUGUAGAACAGUGUUCCUUCCUCUGAACAUGGCUACAGAAGAACAAAUCACUUAGUCUGAAGAUGAAAACAAGAAGCUGAUGGAAGACACAUUCUGAACUAGCUAACACAACACUCUGAAACUGGAGGAUAUCAACUGAUAAGAUAUGAAGUUCUCCCUUAGUUUCAAAUACACUGGGUUCAUAAAUUAUUAACAUAAACAAUGGAUGUCCCGUCAAGCUACCAUGAAGAUAGCUAGGUCUGCACAACUCCUCAAGUGUCGACCCCUCCAAGCACAUCCUCCACCUGGAACUGUGAACCGAAUGGAUAAAUGUGUUGGUCAGAAAGGUCUUUACAUCUUUGAAUUGUAAUGAUCAUGAUUAGUUGCUGAGUUUACCACCU
rnacentral:lncRNA from 1 species